rnacentral:rRNA from 1 species
CUAGUAAUCGCGGAUCAGCAUGCCGCGGUGAAUACGUUCCCGGGCCUUGUACACACCGCCCGUCACACCAUGAGAGUCGGGAACACCCGAAGUCCGUAGCCUAACCGCAAGGGGGCGCGGCCGAAGGUGGGUUCGAUAAUUGGGGUGAAGUCGUAACAAGGUACC